rnacentral:lncRNA from 1 species
AAAUGGAGUGAAGCUGAAGGAGGAAAAGAAAAGGAGAGGAGGUGCCCGGGAGAAAGAGAAAGCAGAGUUGGGUGGACUUGGAGCAGUCUCUGCCACGUGCUGUUGAAGGGUCUGCCAAACUUGAGCAGGAGAACAUCCAGACGUCCAGAGCCAUUGACUCCGGAGGGUCUCGCUGGGACCUGAUUCCUUUUCAGAUACAAUGCCAAGCGUUAUUUAGGUGUUACCUUCCUCCGCCCCACCUUUGGCCUGAGCGUGGGAAUAUUCAGUUGUCCCAGUUGGAUCCAUAGUGAACUCCAAUUCCGACUUCCUUUUAUUUAGGAAACAAAGGAAUCUAUUUCUUCUAGGAAAUGGGAGGCUUUAUCUGUCUCGUUUACCACUGCAACCCUGGCACCAAAUGCAAUGCCUGAUAUAUAGUCUCUAUCUGUGGAAGUCAGCCUUCAAGAUGGCCCCCAAUGAUCUCUGCCUCUUGUUCCCACCCUUGUGAAGUCCCCUCCUCUAUUGUACCAAGCCAACCUCCGUCUUGUGAGCAGCCCUGUGAGAGACCCAGGUGGUGGGGAGCUCAAGUCUCUGGCCAACAUCCUGCAAGGAGCUGAAGCUUGUCAAUACAUGAGCUUGAAGACUCCCAGGAAGUUGCAGACAGUACACUGAAGUCCCCAGCAUGCUCAGUGGUAACGUCUUAUAUAACUAUAAUGCUGUAUCAAAACCCAGAAACUGACAUUGGCGCAAUUUAUAGACCUUUUCCAGAUUUCACCAAUUGUUAUAUGCAUUGUGUGUGUGUGUAGUUCUGUGAAAUUUUAUCACAUGUAUAGAGUUGUACAACCACCGCAAUC